UCAUGGGUCCUGUCCUCGCACCUGGAUGUCCCUGUAAAGGCACGGACUCCGCGGUGAGGCGGGGGAUCAGAUAGGGCGAGAAUUCAGUAAGGGAUAGGUUAAGUGUGUGAACCUGAGCUCACAAUUGAAAGCCAGGUCACCUGUGCCUACUGGGAGGUCACUCCCGCUGAGCUGACUCUGGGAACCACAGAGAUGGCCACCAAGAUCACUUAGGCCAGACGCGUGUGCUCACUCACGGCCACCACGCUUCAUUCGGUCUUCAUAGCCCAGCUCCUCCAGAGGUGGGGGGUUUCUCUUCCGGAACAAGAUCCGCAAAGGCAGCCCUUGGGCUAUCUCUGGUCAUGCUCACCCAGAAGGCACAGAAAAUACAAACCGUCUGCCGGCUUCCUAUCCAAUCAGCUGCUGUGUUGUCUUGAAAAUAAAUAUUUUAUCUACAGCUCUGCCUUCAGAAGAAGCAACAUGUUGGACUGCCAGCAGAACCUCAGCGUUGACAGGGGUGCAAGCAUUUACCCCGCCCUCCCGUUUCCCAUGAAGCAACACUAAAGCAUCCAGAUUUUCCUACAAGGGGCUCUGCGGGUUGUUGGCAUGAUUCAGUAUGAGAAAAUGUUGAAGGUUUUAGCUGCUUUUGGAGCAUGUAACAUAUGUUGGGUUUUUUUGUUGUCGUUGUUUCAAAACCUCCCAGAUUCCCCAGAGUUGAGGCUCAGCUUCCGGCGAGAGGGCUCCGGGGUGCAGGGAUAACAGCUGAAGAAGCCAUCCAUUUGUAGCAGCUGGGCACAGACUCCUGUCAGGUUCAAGCCAGAGUUCAGUGAGCCUGAGCGAGUUCCUGAUCCUUCCGUUCCUAUUUUUCUGUCCAGGGAGUAUGGCAACAGCGAUGACCUCACAGAAUAGCUCCAGGAAGGAGCUGAGAUCAGAUAGCAUUUACGACAGCACCUAGCAGGCAGGAAGGGCCUGUGCAGAAAGGGUUUCUGGCUCGGGGAGGCCUCUCCUCGCCUGCCCCCAGUCAAGCCUUCCUGUGAGUUGCCCAGCUGUUCUCUGCCGCCCCAGGAGCUGCAAGGUGGUCAAGUUUGGGGGUGAUAACACUAACUGGCAGGGCCACACGAAAGACUGCACAGCUACACGAUCCACUCUGAAUUCACGCCCAACCCGACUGUUCCACGAGCAGCCCCCUCGGAGUACAGGUAAGUUAAAAUCAAACCUCUGCCUCCACGGACUGCCAGGGACCGGAGGCAGGAUUCCGGCCCAGCACUCCAGGGGUCUAAAGGAAUACGGAUUUUGUUCUUGACGUGAGAAUAACAGGACAGAGCCGGUGUAUGGGCAGCGAGCGGGGCUUGCUCACCGCUUGGAGAUCUCCUGGUAGCGCAGCUGCAACUUCGCCUGCAAGUCUUGCUGUGGGAGGAGAGGAAGGAGGUCAGCUUGCAGGGCACCUCAGGAAAGGAGAGGGCGAGGGAGCAGGGGCAUCCCAGGGAUGGAGAAGGGAAGGUCGGAGAUGAACAGUUUGGUACAGGGGUAUGAGUCCUGGAGGAGAUAAGGAGAGCUAAGGCCUGAGC